AGGUUGCCUUGGGCGCGGGCGGAAAAGAUAGAGUUGGGCUCUGUACACUGUACUGUACUUCGUAAUCCAAAAUGAUAGAGCUGGCUCUGCCGCAGUGGCACCACCACAUGUCUCUAUUCCCAGCAGCGCCGGCGCCGGCGGCCUCGCCGCCACGGGAAUACAAUUGUUUCUGUGCUUCGGUCCGUUACACUCGCUCUUCCUGCAAUGCUUGUCUCCUCCAAUUUAGCCCAAAAACUUGGAAUUCAAACCGAGCAAUCAAUUUCAAACUUCACGCGACUGCUUCUCGCCAAACAAAUCCGGAGCUCGAGCGCCUAUUAGAAGAUAAAGAAGUAGAUGAUUUUUAUAUCGGAGAUAGAGCAACAUCGAGGAUAAGCUAUGGGGAAGAAGAAGAAGAGGAGGAUGACUCCGGUGUGGUGUUGUCUCUAACCGAGAAACCGGACCGGAACUUCGCAGUGCUUGAUGAAUAUGAGCUCGAAGAGCUCGACUGUGCUUCCGAUAACCCUAAUCAUAAGAGCGGAUAUGUAGCUGUCCUUGGGAAGCCUAAUGUGGGAAAAAGCACACUUUCGAACCAGAUGGUUGGGCAGAAGCUCUCUAUUGUCACAGAUAAGCCUCAAACUACACGGCAUCGCAUUCUUGGUAUAUGUUCAGCUCCAGAAUAUCAGAUGAUACUAUAUGAUACCCCUGGUGUUAUAGAGAAGAAAAUGCACAAAUUAGACACAAUGAUGAUGAGGAAUGUCCGCAAUGCUGCUGUCAGUGCAGAUUGUGUAGUAGUUGUUGUUGAUGCAUGUAGGGCUCCUGAAAAGAUUGAUGAAGUGCUGUAUGAGGGUGUUGGAACACUAAAAGAUAGAUUACCAAUAUUGCUGGUUUUGAAUAAGAAGGACCUGAUCAAACCAGGUGAAAUUGCAAAGAAACUUGAGUGGUAUGAGAAAUUUACUGAUGCUGAUGAGGUCAUUCCUGUCAGUGCCAAAUAUGGGCAUGGAGUGGAAGAUGUGAAAGAUUGGAUACUCUCUAAGCUUCCUCUUGGACCGGCUUAUUAUCCCAAGGACAUUGCUAGUGAGCAUCCAGAAAGAUUUUUUGUUGCUGAAAUUGUCAGAGAAAAGAUCUUUAUGCAAUAUCGGAAUGAAAUUCCUUAUGCCUGUCAGGUUAAUGUAGUUAGUUACAAAACUAGACCAAAUGCAAAAGAUUUUAUACAAGUUGAAGUUAUAGUGGAGAAGAACUCUCAAAAAGUCAUCCUCAUUGGAAAGUUCAGGAAGGGAAGGCCUUGAAGCUUCUUGCAACAGCUGCACGGCUUGAUAUAGAAGAUUUCUUGCAAAAGAAAGUUUUUCUUGAGGUAGAGGUGAAGGUUAAAGAGAAUUGGAGGCAAAAUGAGGGUCUCCUAAAGCACUAUGGAUAUGGCGGACAAAUUAAAGCCUUGUGAUUAGAUAUUCUGUUUGAAAAUUGAUAUGGAAAGAGGUGACAAAUUCAUAAUGUGCAAAAGUUGAUGCUCUGAUGAUCGGCUGAUAGAAAUGGUAUUAAACAGAGAACUGCACACAGUUGGAAAACGGUUUCUUGCAUGAACAUUCUUGGCAAAUGAAUUAUGUCAGGUGGUGUGUUAUUAAAUUUCCUACUCCAAGUUGUGUUUCUUUGUUGCCAUGCCGAUAUGGAAGCUAUUGCACAAGAGACAUGCUACUGAUGAGGGUUGUAUAUUUUUCACAAAAAUGCAACACAUGCAUUCUACUUGUAAGUUCCUAAACCUGUUUCACUUGGCUUCAAAAUGUUAACCUGAUAUCAAUUAAAAUUGCUACAAUCAAGUGUUUGAUAUGUAAAUAUGAGAAGGAUAUCGGAUAAUGAGAAAAGAUGUAGUACUGUAAUUUAAUUUUUGACAGAACUGAA